GACAGAGGGUGCAAACGUUGUUCGGAAUUACUGGGCGUAAAGCGCGCGUAGGCGGAUCGCUAAGUCAGGGGUGAAAUCCCAGGGCUCAACCCUGGAACUGCCUUUGAUACUGACGAUCUGGAGAUCGGGAGAGGUUGGUGGAAUUCCGAGUGUAGAGGUGAAAUUCGUAGAUAUUCGGAGGAACACCAGAAGCGAAGGCGGCCAACUGGCCCGAUACUGACGCUGAGGCGCGAAAGCGUGGGGGAGCAA
rnacentral:rRNA from 1 species